rnacentral:rRNA from 1 species
AUGACGAGGAUGGCGCGGAGGCCGCUGCCCUGCUUGGUCCAGGCGAGCAGGUCGCGGGCCGAGUUCCUGGAGGCGUCCCGCAGCCGCGGAGCGGCCUCGCAGGUCGCCGCGCGGAGGCGCCGCAGGAGCGGAUCUCCGCCGUCGCCGGGCGGCGGCCAGACGCCGUCCACGAAGCCGCGGAGCACCGCGGGGAGGGUGUCGUCGCCGCCGCCGGAGACCUCGACGGCGCGGCCGUCGUCGGAGACCUCACCGUUGGCCAUCUUGCCGUCCGCCGCGUCGGGUUCGGCCAUCUUGCCGUCCGCCGUGUCGGAUUCGGCCAUCUGCAGGCGCGGCGAGAGGUCGUGA